GGUUAAGCGACUAAGCGUACACGGUGGAUGCCUAGGCAAUCAGAGGCGAUGAAGGACGUGCUAAUCUGCGAAAAGCGUCGGUAAGGUGAUAUGAACCGUUAUAACCGACGAUGUCCGAAUGGGGAAACCCAGUGCAAUUCGUUGCACUAUCGUUUGAUGAAUCCAUAGUCAAACGAGGCGAACCGGGGGAACUGAAACAUCUCAGUACCCCGAGGAAAAGAAAUCAACCGAGAUUCCCCUAGUAGCGGCGAGCGAACGGGGAGCAGCCCAGAGUCUUAAUCAGCAUCAGCAUCAGGAGAACGGUCUGGAAAGGCCGGCAAUAAAGGGUGAUAGCCCCGUAUCCGAAGGUGUUGGUGUUGUGAACUCGAUGAGUAGGGCGGGACACGUGUUAUCCUGUCUGAAUAUGGGGGGACCAUCCUCCAAGGCUAAAUACUCCUGAUUGACCGAUAGUGAACCAGUACCGUGAGGGAAAGGCGAAAAGAACCCCGGCGAGGGGAGUGAAAUAGAACCUGAAACCGUGUACGUACAAGCAGUGGGAGCCUUGAUUUAUCAGGGUGACUGCGUACCUUUUGUAUAAUGGGUCAGCGACUUAUAUUCUGUAGCAAGGUUAACCGAAUAGGGGAGCCGUAGGGAAACCGAGUCUUAACUGGGCGAAUGAGUUGCAGGGUAUAGACCCGAAACCCGGUGAUCUAGCCAUGGGCAGGUUGAAGGUUGGGUAACACUAACUGGAGGACCGAACCGACUAAUGUUGAAAAAUUAGCGGAUGACUUGUGGCUGGGGGUGAAAGGCCAAUCAAACCGGGAGAUAGCUGGUUCUCCCCGAAAGCUAUUUAGGUAGCGCCUCGUGAACUCAUCUUCGGGGGUAGAGCACUGUUUCGGCUAGGGGGUCAUCCCGACUUACCAACCCGAUGCAAACUACGAAUACCGAAGAAUGUUAUCACGGGAGACACACGGCGGGUGCUAACGUUCGUCGUGAAGAGGGAAACAACCCAGACCGCCAGCUAAGGUCCCAAAGUCAUGGUUAAGUGGGAAACGAAGUGGGAAGGCUCAGACAGCCAGGAUGUUGGCUUAGAAGCAGCCAUCAUUUAAAGAAAGCGUAAUAGCUCACUGGUCGAGUCGGCCUGCGCGGAAGAUGUAACGGGGCUAAACCAUGCACCGAAGCUGCGGCAGCGACAUGUAAAUGUUGUUGGGUAGGGGAGCGUUCUGUAAGCCUGUGAAGGUGUGCUGCGAGGCAUGCUGGAGGUAUCAGAAGUGCGAAUGCUGACAUAAGUAACGAUAAUGCGGGUGAAAAACCCGCACGCCGGAAGACCAAGGGUUCCUGUCCAACGUUAAUCGGGGCAGGGUGAGUCGACCCCUAAGGCGAGGCAGAAAUGCGUAGUCGAUGGGAAACAGGUUAAUAUUCCUGUACUGGUGAUAAUUGCGAUGGGGGGACGGAGAAGGCUAGGCUGGCCGGGCGACGGUUGUCCCGGUUUAAGGAUGUAGGUGGGUGAAUUAGGCAAAUCCGGUUCGCUAUACACUGAGGUCUGAUGACGAGUCACUACGGUGGCGAAGUAGCUCAUGCCCCGCUUCCAGGAAAAGCCUCUAAGCUCUAGAUUAUCAUUAAUCGUACCCCAAACCGACACAGGUGGUCAGGUAGAGAAUACUCAGGCGCUUGAGAGAACUCGGGUGAAGGAACUAGGCAAAAUGGUGCCGUAACUUCGGGAGAAGGCACGCUGGCAUUAGGUGAAGUGGUUUACCCAUGGAGCUGAAGCCAGUCGCAGAUACCAGCUGGCUGCAACUGUUUAUUAAAAACACAGCACUGUGCAAACACGAAAGUGGACGUAUACGGUGUGACGCCUGCCCGGUGCUGGAAGGUUAAUUGAUGGGGUUAUCCGUAAGGAGAAGCUCUUGAUCGAAGCCCCAGUAAACGGCGGCCGUAACUAUAACGGUCCUAAGGUAGCGAAAUUCCUUGUCGGGUAAGUUCCGACCUGCACGAAUGGCGUAAUGAUGGCCAGGCUGUCUCCACCCGAGACUCAGUGAAAUUGAACUCGCUGUGAAGAUGCAGUGUACCCGCGGCAAGACGGAAAGACCCCGUGAACCUUUACUAUAGCUUGACACUGAACAUUGAGCCUUGAUGUGUAGGAUAGGUGGGAGGCUUUGAAGUGUGGACGCCAGUCUGCAUGGAGCCAACCUUGAAAUACCACCCUUUAAUGUUUGAUGUUCUAACGUCGCCCCAUAAUCUGGGGUGCGGACAGUGUCUGGUGGGUAGUUUGACUGGGGCGGUCUCCUCCCAAAGCGUAACGGAGGAGCACGAAGGUUGGCUAAGCAUGGUCGGACAUCAUGCGGUUAGUGCAAAGGCAUAAGCCAGCUUGACUGCGAGAGUGACGGCUCGAGCAGGUACGAAAGUAGGUCUUAGUGAUCCGGUGGUUCUGAAUGGAAGGGCCAUCGCUCAACGGAUAAAAGGUACUCCGGGGAUAACAGGCUGAUACCGCCCAAGAGUUCAUAUCGACGGCGGUGUUUGGCACCUCGAUGUCGGCUCAUCACAUCCUGGGGCUGAAGUAGGUCCCAAGGGUAUGGCUGUUCGCCAUUUAAAGUGGUACGCGAGCUGGGUUUAGAACGUCGUGAGACAGUUCGGUCCCUAUCUGCCGUGGGCGUUGGAAGAUUGAAAGGGGCUGCUCCUAGUACGAGAGGACCGGAGUGGACGCACCGCUGGUGUUCGGGUUGUCAUGCCAAUGGCACUGCCCGGUAGCUAAGUGCGGAAGAGAUAACCGCUGAAAGCAUCUAAGCGGGAAACUUGCCUUGAGAUGAGUCUUCCCUGACUCUUUAAGGGUCCUAAAGGAACGUUUAAGACGAAGACGUUGAUAGGCUGGGUGUGUAAGCGUAGCGAUACGUUGAGCUAACCAGUACUAAUGAACCGUGAGGCUUAACCUG
rnacentral:rRNA from 1 species